rnacentral:rRNA from 1 species
CGGGUGAGUAACACGUAUCCAACCUGCCGUCUACUCUUGGCCAGCCUUCUGAAGGAAGAUUAAUCCAGGAUGGGAUCAUGAGUUCACAUGUCCGCAUGAUUAAAGGUAUUUUCCGGUAGACGAUGGGGAUGCGUUCCAUUAGAUAGUAGGCGGGGUAACGGCCCACCUAGUCAACGAUGGAUAGGGGUUCUGAGAGGAAGGUCCCCCACAUUGGGACUGAGACACGGCCCAG